AAUUUAAACUUCUAAUGUACUUUGAUUCAAAGUUUCAUUAUAUAGUUUUAUAUACUUUUUUCUCACCAAAGUCAACCAUUGUAUUGUGUUUAUGUUUGUUUAAAUCAAACUUUGGUUUUGAGGUUUUGUUUAGAUUCCUAUGUUGUUUUAGUUAGGGGUGGGCAAACGGGUAGAGGAACCGCGGGUCGGGGCGGGUAAUGUAGGUUCGGGGCGGGUACGGGCCGGUUCCAAAUAUUGUAGAAAAAAAACGGGCCGGGCCGGGCCGGGGCGUUGUCAAAUACGGGGCGGGGCGGGUCCUAAUCCUUGGAAAAACAGGGCCCCGAACCGACCCGUUUAUAAUAAUAAUGAACGGUCCAGAUUAAAUGAUACCCUAUCAUCUAAUCUUAAUCGUUAAUUCCUACCCUAGUCGAUGUCCCGUGUGUCUAGGUUUCCACUUCCAGAUUCAGUCACUCACUCCAAUCUCCAUCGUCUUCUCGAACUCCAUCUCUCUCCUCUCCUACCUGAGCACCGACGCCUGCUUGUGAACCUGCCAGGUAGCCGAUCUGGAUCACCAGAGCUUUGGCGAGGUUGAAGAUGUUCUGCUGGACGGCUUCCGCUCAGGCCAUGAGGCCGUGGACGAGUCAGACUCCAUUUUCCUGCGAGUCGACAAUGAGGGCUGGGCAGGUUGAUGAUGACUCGGCGGUGGCGGGGAGGGAGAUUGGUUGUUGUGGUUGUGGAAUAGAGGAGGCGGCGUGACGGUUGAAGAGGAGUUCGAACUUCGGAGGGAGAAGACCCGGAUGAGGAUUUGAAACGCUUUGGCUCCCACGACGAAGAAUCGAGGCGGGUUUGGGUGAACACGGCGUUUCCGGGGAUAGAUUUGAAGUCGUUGUAGCUGGAAGAAGAGUGUAGAGGGCGAAAAGGUUGGUAGUGAUGACAGAGAAGACCCAGAAAGUAUGGUGUUUAAUCAAAGCUUCUGCUUCUGCUUUUCCAUUGUUUUCCUCUUCCGUUUUCUGGGUCUUCCUGCUUCUUCUUCUUCGCCAACUUUCAUUUCAGAUGGUGGUAAAGUGACCCGUGGACUUUAUGAUUUCUGGGUAGUUUUGGAUUGAUCAGAAAGAACUCAGUAUCUCUUUUUCGUUGUUCGGAGAAUAUUGAGCGGCUUAUUAAUGGUAUCUAAGGUACUUCUGAUGAUCUCAUCCAUCUUGUUACCAUGGAGGCGGGUUUUAAUUCUUCAAUUAGAGGUGCUCGUUAAAAUGCUUAGAUGUGUUGUUAAUGUCAGCCAACAAUUGGGAAAAACAGCUUCUGCUAUAUUUUAUGAAUCAUUAGUUAGUGCACCACUCGUUAUCUCAGCUGAGGAAAUUACUCAUCGCCUUUUGAAGAAUUUAGAAUCUGGAUAUGGUUCAACGGUAGCAAUGCUUCAUGUAUCAGAGCAUGGACCUGAUGUUGCUUUGGAGAGAAACCUGGCUGAUAAAAAAAAAUUGAGGAAAUUUUAUAUUGGCAUGCUGUUAUCUCUUCAUGCCUUGCACAUGAAUCGUACUGUUAUUUCUUUCUAAUGCAGUGUCACUGUGAUUGUGCAGUUGCAAAUUGCAAUCUGUGCAGUUUUCAAACUGUGCAGUGCAGUUAAAAAAAAAAAAAGAGGGUACCCGUGGACCCGGCCCGAACCGGCCCGUUUUAACUGGGCCGGGUAAUGUCCGGUUCCUAUACAAGAAAAUCCAAUCCCCGCCCCGUCCCGGCCCGUUUCGGGUAAUGUCAGAUUCCUACAAACUUAGGUUCGGCCCGGCUCGGCCCGGCCCGUGCCCAGCCCUAGUUUUAGUAUAUGUGUUAUAUCUUUAUUAAUUUUUUCUUUUGUUCGAAUUGUGCUUUGCAGCAGUUUGUUUUUGAAUUGGCUGUAAAAAUUUGUUUGCAUCAUGUCUAAAAGAUCUUUAAAUAUUGGAAUAAACGAUAGUCUACAACAAAAAGAAAACAUUGGCAAUAAUGGAUAUAAUCCUUUCCUUGAGCAUAACCAGCAACCAAAAAAAUUGUGUAGAACCACUUAUAUGCAAAAUUCUGAAAACACAUCUUUUUGUGAAACUGAUGCGUUGGUUUGUCAAUAUUCACGAGGUGAAUAUCAGUGUAGUACAAGCAGAUCUCUUGCUGAUGAUUUUGUUGUUGAGCAUUUUGAUAAUGAAUUAUAUACAACCACUUAUAUGCAAAAUUCUGAAAACACCUCUCUUUUUCAAACUGAUGCGUUAGUUUGUCAAUAUUCACGGGGUGAAUAUCAAUGCAGUACAAGCAGAUCUUUUGCUGAUGAUUCUGUUGUUGAACAUUCUGAUAAUGAUAACAUAUUGGAUAUGACUACGCUUGAAAAAAACUUUGACAGUUGUGACACAAAGGGAAAAAAAAUUCUUAGUCUCCAACGAUGUUGGAAGUGUAGUUGAAAAAAGUUUGUGAUCGUAAUCACAAUCUUAUGAGUAAAGGGCAAGCCUUUUUUCAAAACAACAGAAGGGGUAUGUUCCUAAUUUCUUAUAAUAAUUUUUUAAAUUUCUUUUUACUUUUAGUGUUUAGUUAAUGGCGUAUAACGCUAACGUCCUAUUAUUUUCGGGUUUGGACAUAUUUUUUUGUAGGUGUUGUCAGGGAUUAUAUAGAUCUGGGUGAUAAGAGUUAUAAGUGUGUGUAUUGCGGUGCUUAUUUUUGGUUAAAUGAGUCUCUAAAAAAAGCU